UACGGGGGGGGCAAGCGUUGUUCGGAAUUACUGGGCGUAAAGGGCUCGUAGGUGGCCAACUAAGUCAGACGUGAAAUCCCCAGGCUCAACUUGGGAACUGCGUCUGAUACUGGAUGGCUUGAUUUCGGGAGAGGGAUGCAGAAUUCCAGGUGUAGCGGUGAAAUGCGUAGAUAUCUGGAGGAAUACCGGUGGCGAAGGCGGCAUCCUGGACCGAGAUUGACACUGAUGAGCGAAAGCCAGGGGAGCAAACGGG
rnacentral:rRNA from 1 species